GUGGGGAAUAUUGGACAAUGGGCGCAAGCCUGAUCCAGCCAUGCCGCGUGAGUGAUGAAGGCCCUAGGGUUGUAAAGCUCUUUCGCCGAUGAAGAUAAUGACGGUAGUCGGAGAAGAAGCCCCGGCUAACUUCGUGCCAGCAGCCGCGGUAAUACGAAGGGGGCUAGCGUUGUUCGGAAUUACUGGGCGUAAAGCGCACGUAGGCGGAUAUUUAAGUCAGGGGUGAAAUCCCGGGGCUCAACCCCGGAACUGCCUUUGAUACUGGGUAUCUCGAGUAUGGAAGAGGUGAGUGGAAUUCCGAGUGUAGAGGUGAAAUUCUUAGAUAUUCGGAGGAACACCAGUGGCGAAGGCGGCUCACUGGUCCAUUACUGACGCUGAGGUGCGAAAGCGUGGGGAGCAAACAGGAUUAGAUACCCCUGUAGUCC
rnacentral:rRNA from 1 species